rnacentral:rRNA from 1 species
UUGUGCAGCCAAACCACCCAGAACGCACCCAAUCUCAUCUGAUCUUGAAAACUAAGCAGGGUUGAGCCAUGUUAGUACUUGGAUCGAGACAAGUUUAAAUCUUUGUGACCUGGAAUCAGGCAGUAGUUUUUA